AGCGGGAGGUCUGCGCGGUGUGUCCAGUCUUCUCGGCGCGGACGGGAUUCCCGUGGACCUUCGGCCGAAGGGGCGACGCGCGACACAAAAAGCAUCCGUGGAGCUCAAGUUUGAGGUGAAAGCAGGCUCAGAGUCCACCUGUCCUCGCUGAUCCAUGGAUUUCUGUGUGACCAGAUUACACCUAUGGAGCUGCAGCCCCGACUACCACCAGCUUGCUCAUCCCUCUACUCACACAGUCACCCCUCCCCUCACUCUCAUGUAUGCUUCACCUGUGAAUG